rnacentral:lncRNA from 1 species
AAAUAAAAUAAUAAAUAAAUAACUAAAUAAAAUAAAUAAAAAGAAAAAUAAUGAGUGAGUGGCAAAUAAUCUGAUCUAAAUAAAUAAAUAAAUAAAAAUAAAUAUAGUAAUUAUUUAACCAAUUUUAUCAUCUAGCUAAGAAAGAAAGUUCGGGCGGUAAGCAAAAAGGUGGCUCCCUUGCCUUGGAAAGGGUUGUUCCUAUCUCUCUCCUUCCUUUCAUCGCUUCUGGAUGGUAGGUAGCUAAUUGGUCAGAGAACAGGACUGAAUCCCGAAAUUCCGCUUUUCCUGUUAAGGCAUAUGUGGAUCGUUUGACUUUUUUUUUGAAUAUAAAACCAAAUUUGUUUGAAAGAUAAAUAGUCAUCAGAAGGGUAAAAAAUUAAUUUACACUAAUAAUUAUAAUAUUUUAUACAUUUAUUAUUGUAUUAUACUACAAAUAUAAUAUUACAUUACAUUAUAUCAUAAUACAUUGAUAUGUUAUGUUAAAUAAUUUAAUAUUAUAUCAAAUUAUUAUCCUAUAGUACACAAUGUUAUAGUACUAUAUUAUAAUAAUAUUAU